CCAAAUCUAUUUUUCCAUCGCCCUUCAAUGGUAAACCCUUAUCUGUUUGUGCGACCACCGUUCCAUUCGCCAUCGGCUGUGACAUUGUCGAGGAUUCGCAGGCCUCCCCUGUAGCUCUCUCUGGUUUUUCCAUUGUGACGCAUAUGGUAAGAUUUUUAAACCAAUUUCAUCACUGUUUCCAUGCAUAGUUAACAAGAUGUGAAACUGGACUUCAUGGAAUUGAUUUCUUUGGUGAUUAAGCUGAUUUCCCCUAAUUGAUUCUAGCAUAGUAGCAUUUUUGAAUAUUUUCUUAGGUGUUGUAGUGACCAAUUAACCUUAUCAACCUCUAGCAGUAACUACAAUAGCCAAAUAGAAGACAAAAAUGCCAUUACUUCUUCUGUUGGUUUAUUUCCCACAACUUCACCAUACUUCUAUUCUGAUGCCAAUUUUGCUUAUAAUGAGUGUUUAUCGAGAAUAUCUGAAAUCUAGAACUAGGCGCCAAAAAUAUAGAGAUUAGCAUAAAUGUGGUGAGGAUUGUCUAGUUACGAAUUUGGGACUGGUGUGGCCUAAUUCAAGGUUUGCUUGUGGAUGAUGGUACCUUGUAAACAACUUAAUUUACUUGUGAAUCUGAUAUGUUUGUUGAUAAUUGAAGAAGCAGAUAAGUGGUAGGAUUUAGAAAUAUUAGAAGUGGAAUGCAUGGACUAGUAAAACCGUAUGGUUUAUUACAUUGAUGGUUAGUACAACACUUAAGUCUUAGUGUUGCCACACAUACAUGGUGAGGCACUAAUGCCUAUUUAUAGCUGGAGUCACCGCCUUGAUUUUGGCGGUUUAUUAUAUGAUACAAUUGGAUCAUUCUAGAGUUUAGAAACAUCAAAAUAGUCUAUGUGCUUUCUAUAAUAGUGUAGAUUUUAAAAGAUAAUUCUAGAAAUUUGCAUCAAUUCUUAACAAUGUUUAACCUCUUACAUUUUCCUUCAAUGUAUACAUCUUAGCAAGCUAUCUCUAUGGUGGAGAUUUUGUAUGAUAAUUCGAUUAGCUCAUUAAGUUAAUUCAAUCAUGUUUCUGGGAAAUAACUUUUUGGUAUUUAAAUUAUUUCUGUAGCAUAGUCUUUAGGUUGAUUCUACUGCUUAAAUGAAAAUAUUCUGUCUGUGCUUUUUCCUUGCUUCAACUUGGGUGUGUGUUAAAAGCUUGCUCCUGUGGAUGUUGACAUGGCAAGGUUCUUGCUAACAAUCAGAAAUGUUUAUGUGCUCUUAUUUUAAAUGGUUGAACUCACUGGACAAGUUUUUGAAGUAAUAAAGUAAGAAACAAUUUUUUUAAAAAGGAUAUAAUUCUUGAAGAAGUCAAUUUAAUGUGAAGCUUAAAGAUUAGGAGGAGUGAUUUCAUUUGAUUAGCUCAUAGUUCUGAGUUUAUCUAAUGCUGGUUAUAGGUAUUAUGAUUACAUUUACUUGUAUAGACUGACUAAUUUAUUUCCUAUAUACAUUAGACCCCCAAAGUAUAAGCAAGAUAUCACACACACAGAAAUGGGGAUGAUGAGAAGAAAAAGAAUAUUGUUUUUGUUUCUAAUGACCAGAUGAGGAAUUGGGUGAAUGAGAUAGAACAUUAUGCUAUUCUGGUCAACAUACUGGUCUGGUCAAAUCUAAAAUCUUGUAGGCCACCUUUGAUCUGGGGUCUGUUAUGAUCGUGAAAGAUUAGCAAACCCUAACAUUGGUAGUUGCUUUGUUUCUUUGUUGGUUGUAUGUUUCUGGCUUCUUUUGAUAUGAAAAUAUUAUUUUUUGCAAGAGUUAAUCGCUUUAAUAUUUUUUUUCAGUAACACCUAGCAAAUUGAAAUGAGAGAGUUCUGCUUUGAAUUAUCUAUUUGGUUGGCAGUAAUUAGUAUGUCUAUGAAAUUUAACUUUCUCUGUUUUCCUUGGACUUCAUGGCAUAAGAAAAGUUCACAUAGGCGGUUAAAAAGGCAUAAAGCCACAUAAAAAUUAACUUGAACUCUUUGGCAUUUAAUUUAUCUUCUUUUCUACUUUCAGUACUCUAUGAAGACCCGGAACUUUAAAAUUAGAGCCACAUGGAAAUUUCAUCAUCCUAGAGACCAAGUUGGGAACUGAGAUCGCUGGAAGAGUUGCCUUAAGCAUUUUCACUGUGGUGUGAGAGUGUUGGCGGUUCACAGUCAAUGAUGUCAUGCUCAUAUCAUGGUCACUUCGGGUAAUUAACUUCAAAUAUUUUCAUUUUCUAUUUGCUUAUAUAUAGUUUCAUGAGAAUUUCUCAAAACUUAUGAAAAAGAUGGGAGUGUUUAGGUCACGGGUUCUUAAAUUAAGGUCUUGUUUUCUAGUUGUCGGUAUGUUUGGAUUGACAGAACAUAACAGAGCAGAACGAAUUGAAAUAUAAUGGAACAGAUAGAGCGGAAUGAAAUGGAAUAAAAAUCUCAUCCCAUUGUUUGGGUAUUUUAUGAUAACACGAAACAAAAUCACCACUCCCUUAUUUGGAUAAUGGACGGAGCGGAAUGAGUUAUAACUUUUUUAUUCCUAUAUUACCUUUCUUUAAAUAAUAAAAUUCUCAUUAAAUUAUUAAAAUGAUUAACAAAAUAAUUUUUUAGAGGAAUUAACAAAAUCAUUAUCCUUGCUAAACUCUCAUUAUAUCUAUUUACUCAAAUUAAAUUAUAUCCUCAUCAUUUAUCUACAGUAAACUAUACUAGUAUAUGCCAAUAUUUUUUUAUAAAACGUACUGAACAUAAUAGAACACUAUCGAAAAAAGUAAACGAAAAAUAAAAGAAUGCAACAGUUGGAAAAAAAAAUAGUUUGUUGACAAAUAAAAGAAUAUGUAUACAUUAGUAUUAAUAAUUAAAUAUGAACAGUAUCAUUAUAUUACCUUUCGUAAGCUGUAAUGUUUUAUUUUUGCUAGAUAUGUUAAAAUAAUGUUGGAACUUGGUUGUUUGUGUGAGGGGAGAGAGUAGAGACUCACGGAGAGAGAGUGGGAGAGAGUGGGAGAGACUAUUAAGUUAAGGGCUAGAAAUCUAGAAUUGUAAAUUGAUAAUUUUUAUAAGUGUAAAAUCUUGAUUUCAUCCCAUACCUUCCAAAUUGAGGGAAGCAAAAUGAUGGAAACUAAUCUCAUCUCAUUUCCAUCUCAUCCCACCUUUUCAUAACAUAUCCAAACAAUAGAACAUAAAAAUAUUUCACUCCAUCUCAUCUCACCCCACUCCCUGCCACCAAUCCAAAUAUAGCCUAAUGAUGGCAUAGUGUAUAUUUGACUGUGGAUAAAUGAUGAAGAUAUAAACUAAUUAGAGUAAAUAGAUAUGAUGAGAUUUUAGCAAGGUAAUUAUUUUGUUAAUUAUUUUUGUAGUUUAAUGAUAAUCUUUUAUUUUAAAGCAAAGGUAAUGUAGGAAUUAAAAAGUUAUAACUCAUUCCGCUCCAUCCAUUAUCCAAAAAGGGGCGUGGUAACUUUAAUUUGUUAUGUUCCAUCAUUAAAUACCCAAACAAUGGGAUGAGAUUUUUAUUCCAUUCUGUUCUGCUCCAUUAUAUUUCAUUACGUUCCGCUCCGUUAUGUUUCAUCAAUCCAGCCUAAAUGUUUGCAUAGAUUAACACAUCACGAUAGCAAAAUAACAAUAUAAGGAACAAUGGCUGAAAAUGGUGGGUGGAUGGUUGACCAAAAAUAUGUAUACUGCAUGUUUGCACAAACUAUAUAUUAAUUAAUCAGGUUCUAGUACUUUUUGAGAUAAAUAUGUUGAGAUUGAUACUUUGAGACACUAUUACAACACUAGUAGCAGAUUAGGUAGACCAUCACAACACGUUCAACAGAGGAAUAUGUAGCAGCAAAUGCUAGGAUAAGCUAACUUCAAUUUUAGAAUUGAGAACUUAAUUUUCAAGUAUACACUAUUUGUUCCCCUUCUUCAUGUAACUUUUGUCAUGGACAUGAUUAAAGUUGUAUAGUGCAAUUUCUCAAACUCAAUGGCUUGUGAAAUCUUGUGUGCAAACCUUGAGAAUAAUUCAUCCAUGAUACCUUUGCCAAAUGCGGCAGAGUAAAGUGGUUCCACGACGGAUCUGAGGGUCUUGGAAAUUAACUCUCCUUUAAUUUUGGUAUCCAUGUCAUGUGGAAGGUGUCCAUCCAAACUUAUUUGGAUAGUUUUCAGUGUUUGAAGGGUAAAAGAUCCUUCUGCCUCAAUUAUUUGUUUGACUUCCUCCACAGUAGGAAUAUAUAUAGGCAUAUUAAAGCAAUCUAAUUUAGUCUCUUCAAGCAAACCCUGCAUUUAUAUUAAUUUAUAGGGAACAAUAUUAGUUACUACCAAAUAGGAAUAACAUGUUAUAAACUACAGAAAAACAUUACAUUCCAGUUAGUUUCUUGAAAAUCUAGUAAUAAUGGUAAUCAAAAUUGUAUUCGUUGCAUACCUCCAAGACCAUGUCCUUCAGUACCAACUCAAUUAAGUCCUGCGUAGUACCCUUUUCAAAUGCAGCAUUUUCUCUUCCCAGUAAAGAUAGUACCAUACUUCCAUCAAGUGUUAGUUCGUUCGAACGUGAUCGAAGAAAUAGAUUGAAAUCUCUUUGGAAUUGCUCAAAAUAUGCUUUAUACACUAUUUUAGGACUUUUGAUUGUUAAAUAAAUAUGACCCUUGUUCAGUGGUUCUGCCCCUUUAGUCAAUUCUUCUGGAGACUGUUCCGGAAAAAGCAAUAGACACACACAAAUGAUAUUAUUUUGUGCUUUGCUUCACAAACACAACUUUAACAACUUUAAUAUAUAUAUUAAUAAAUACCUGCGAGAGCCAAUGAAGACUAUUCGAAGAAUGAAAGAAAUCGAUGUAAUUAUUAGGAAAGAGCCUCCCAUAGAAGUUCCCUGGAGUUGCAUUUAUAAAGCAUGCUCCAGCUUUGUCUCCCCUAUCUUGUAUCUUUUGGUAGAAAUCAGGAAGUAACUUGAAGAUACCAUUAAAAUCGUUUCCAAAAAGAUCACUAAGAUAAACUUGGAGUAUGGGCACCUCUUGCUUUGAGCCCAAUCUAGUUGUGUUGAUGACGCUCAUUAUAUCGGACACGACCAGAAGUGAAUUUGGUCCUGAAGAGCAUCCUAAAUCUGCCACUUUCAAAUUACUUUUAAAAGUGGUGUGAUGCAACAAUGUCUUAAUACUUUCUUCUAGUAUUGACUUCAUUUCAAAUAACACUUUUCUCUGCAAUAAAAAAAACUUGGUUACAACAAUGACGACGCCAACAAUAAUAAGCCAAAUGUUAUCCCAUAAUCUUAGGGACAGCUGUGAUAUAAAAAAUUCAAAAUGAUGAUCUGUAGGUUAUUAGCUGAAUCUGUUUUAUUUUGGCAUUCCUUGAGAUUUUCUCUAUGGUGUUAUGAUGUUAUAGGGAUGCCAUUUUAGAAACUGAGGUUUAUUUUGAAAUUUUUUGGGGUGGUGUUUUGGAUGAGAUUUUAUUGUAUAAGGUUGUAUAUCCGUCAUGAGAAUGGUUGUUUCUCAUGUUCUCUUAAUUUUAUGAAUAUAACUCUUGCUUUAAAAAGAAUUAUUUUUCAAUAAAAAAUUAUAUUUUCUAUAAUUUUUUUACCAGAAGUUCGAGGGAGAGUAGAAGUAGUAACAAGAAGAGAAUGCAUACAAUGGAAAAGUUCAAGGGAGCAUAUGAUUAUUGAGUAGGCAGCUGAGGUUCUUUCUCCCUUGAGAAAUUAAUCCGGUAAGUUAAAUAUUAAUUCGAUCUCUUUACUUACUAUUGACACCAAAAUAUUGGCUGAUGCAGAAUGGUUGUAAACUAAUUUAAUCGAGUCAAGGUUAGCUCAGAGCAGACAAGUUUAUUUUUUAUAUGCUAAAUAAUGAUAUUAAUGUGGAGCACAAGGGGUGCCCCAUCCGAUACAAAGGAAAAACAAAAGUCUAAAUAACAAGAAACAUCCUACAGCGUUCAAAUGAAGUAAAAAUCACAUACUCUAUAAAACUGACACAUUUCAACGGGCUUUGCCAACAAAUGAGAAGCGUUUUCGGAAUCCUUUGAGCUCUACGGCAGCAUGCUCCAGAUGUGGUUCCGAUUCAGAGGAUGCCAACCAUGUUUUUUGAGGAUGCCCUGACUCGCAGAACUUGUGGAGGAGCCUUGGUCCCUUGCUGCCGCGGCUUGACACUCAUGGGGACUUUGGAGCUUGGUUUGAUAUGCUUCUGUCACGUUGCAGCAAUAUUCUUCCCUUCGCAGUUUUAUGGUGGGCUUGGAAGUGGCGCAAUGAGUCUGUGCUAGGCACAAACUCAUGGCCACUGCAGUAUGUCCUAAGGCAGAUUAUAGUGGAUGCUCAGAGCUGGAAUCGGUGGCCUAACGCAGCGCCGAUUAGGCGUGUGGAACCAACGCCAGCACCCUUGGUGGCGAAUGAAGUGCAGCUGCACGUAGAUGGAAGCUGGAAUCCUGCUGCUCAGCGCAUGGGCUACGAGGCUUUUCUUCAAGACUCGAAUGAAAACUGGCUAUCUGGAGUGUCUGCAAGCAUGGGUACGGGGUCGUCGUUUCUUGUUGAGUUAUUAGCAAUGGAGCACGGGCUCCUCCAUGCUUGGAGUCUUGGUCACCGAGCUGUUCUUUGUAUGGCAGAUUGCAGGCAAGCUGGGGAUAUUGUGCAGCAGGAAGGAGAUGUUUCCAGUUAUUGGGAGAAGGAUGCUAUCGUAAGGCUCAGAGCUUUACUGAGCAGAAACUGGCAUGUGAGGCUUGUAUGGAUCCCUCGUGAGAAGAACUCUGCUGCAGAUACUAUGGCUCGGCAAGCAGUGCGUGACGGAGCAGGGCAUCGUGUUUGAGCCCAACCUCCUUUGGGUGUUUUGACAGCAUUGUAUGCUGAUAGUUUAGUGUAGCCCUUGUUUUAUUUUUCCUAUGUAACCAAAAAAAGUAUACACUAACACUGACUAUCCCUGUAACUUAUGAAUUGCCAGCUAGAGCUCAAUUUUGAGAAUGUAGCUGAUGAAGUGGGGAGCCGAAAGUGACAAGCUUUGCGUACGAAAUUGGACAAGAGCUCAAUUUUUAGAAUGUAGCCGAUGAAGUGGGGAGCCGAAGAGACAAGCUUUGCGUACGAAAUUGGACAAGAUAUCUUUCCA
rnacentral:lncRNA from 1 species